GCUCGUAUGGCUUAGUUGGUAAAGCGCAUGACUAGUAUCAAAUCAUGAGAUCCUCGGUUCGAAUCCGAGUACGAGCA